UCCCUGGGGUCCAGUGGUUAGAAUUCAGUGCUUUCACUGCUGUGACCCAGGGUUCAAUCCCUGGUCAGGGAA
rnacentral:tRNA from 1 species